CUACGGGUCGCACCAGUGGGGAAUAUUGGGCAAUGGGCGCAAGCCUGACCCAGCAACGCCGCGUGGGGGAAGAAUGUCUUCGGAUUGUAAACCUCUGUCCUUGGGGACGAAAAAAAUGACGGUACCCAAGGAGGAAGCUCCGGCUAACUACGUGCCAGCAGCCGCGGUAAUACGUAGGGAGCAAGCGUUGUCCGGAAUUAUUGGGCGUAAAGGGUGCGUAGGCGGCGCUGUAAGUCAGAUGUGAAAUCCCCGGGCUUAACUCGGGAGUUGCAUUUGAAACUACAGUGCUUGAGUAAAGAAGGGGUAAGUGGAAUUCCUAGUGUAGCGGUGGAAUGCGUAGAUAUCAGGAGGAACACCAGUGGCGAAGGCGACUUACUGGUCUUUUACUGACGCUGAGGCACGAAAGCGUGGGGAGCAAACAGGAUUAGAUACCCGCGUAGUC
rnacentral:rRNA from 1 species